CUUUCGCCAGGGAUGAUAAUGACAGUACCUGGUAAAGAAACCCCGGCUAACUCCGUGCCAGCAGCCGCGGUAAUACGGAGGGGGUUAGCGUUGUUCGGAAUUACUGGGCGUAAAGCGUACGUAGGCGGAUUAGAAAGUAGGGGGUGAAAUCCCRGGGCUCAACCCUGGAACUGCCUYGUAAACUCCUGGUCUAGAGUUCGAGAGAGGUGAAGUGGAAUUCCAUAGUGUAGAGGUGAAAUUCGUAGAUAUUUGGAGGAACACCAGUGGCGAAGGCGGCUCAUCUGGCUCGAUCACUGACGCUGAGGUACGAAAGUGUGGGGAGCAAACAGGAUUAGAUACCCUGGUAGUCCACACCGUAAACGAUGAAUGCCAGUCGU
rnacentral:rRNA from 1 species